CGAAAGUAUUUCUGUCUCUUUUAUAUCAAUAAAAAUUGAAUUAUAGGUGAAGAUGCCUAUAUAUUUUUAAAGGACAAAAAGACCCUAUUGAGCUUUAUUUCUUAUUAAUUAAAAAAGAAAUACCACAAAUUUUUAUUAAAAGGAGAUUCUGUUGGGGCGACAAAGGAACACAAAAAACUUCCAAAAAAAAAAAGAAAACACUUCUAUUCAAUGAUCCUUAAUAGCUAAAGAAACCAGCUACCAUAGGGAUAACAGGCUAAUCAUUUUAAAGAGUUCAUAUUGAUAAAAUGGGUUGGCACCUCGAUGUUGGCUUAGGGUAUCCUAUAAGUGCAGAAG
rnacentral:rRNA from 1 species